UCCUGGUGUAGCGGUGGAAUGCGCAGAUAUCAGGAGGAACACCGAUGGCGAAGGCAGAUCUCUGGGCCGUAACUGACGCUGAGGAGCGAAAGGGUGGGGAGCAAACAGGCUUAGAUACCCUGGUAGUCCACCCCGUAAACGUUGGGAACUAGUUGUGGGGACCAUUCCACGGUUUCCGUGACGCAGCUAACGCAUUAAGUUCCCCGCCUGGGGAGUACGGCCGCAAGGCUAAAACUCAAAGGAAUUGACGGGGACCCGCACAAGCGGCGGAGCAUGCGGAUUAAUUCGAUGCAACGCGAAGAACCUUACCAAGGCUUGACAUACACCAGAACACCGUAGAAAUACGGGACUCUUUGGACACUGGUGAACAGGUGGUGCAUGGUUGUCGUCAGCUCGUGUCGUGAGAUGUUGGGUUAAGUCCCGCAACGAGCGCAACCCUCGUUCUAUGUUGCCAGCACGUAAUGGUGGGAACUCAUGGGAUACUGCCGGGGUCAACUCGGAGGAAGGUGGGGAUGACGUCAAAUCAUCAUGCCCCUUAUGUCUUGGGCUUCACGCAUGCUACAAUGGCCGGUACAAAGGGCUGCAAUACCGUAAGGUGGAGCGAAUCCCAAAAAGCCGGUCCCAGUUCGGAUUGAGGUCUGCAACUCGACCUCAUGAAGUCGGAGUCGCUAGUAAUCGCAGAUCAGCAACGCUGCGGUGAAUACGUUCCCGGGUCUUGUACACAC
rnacentral:rRNA from 1 species